GGCUCAGAUUGAACGCUGGCGGCAGGCCUAACACAUGCAAGUCGAGCGGUAGCACAGAGAGCUUGCUCUCGGGUGACGAGCGGCGGACGGGUGAGUAAUGUCUGGGAAACUGCCUGAUGGAGGGGGAUAACUACUGGAAACGGUAGCUAAUACCGCAUAAUGUCGCAAGACCAAAGUGGGGGACCUUCGGGCCUCAUGCCAUCAGAUGUGCCCAGAUGGGAUUAGCUAGUAGGUGGGGUAACGGCUCACCUAGGCGACGAUCCCUAGCUGGUCUGAGAGGAUGACCAGCCACACUGGAACUGAGACACGGUCCAGACUCCUACGGGAGGCAGCAGUGGGGAAUAUUGCACAAUGGGCGCAAGCCUGAUGCAGCCAUGCCGCGUGUGUGAAGAAGGCCUUCGGGUUGUAAAGCACUUUCAGCGGGGAGGAAGGCGAUAAGGUUAAUAACCUUGUCGAUUGACGUUACCCGCAGAAGAAGCACCGGCUAACUCCGUGCCAGCAGCCGCGGUAAUACGGAGGGUGCAAGCGUUAAUCGGAAUUACUGGGCGUAAAGCGCACGCAGGCGGUCUGUCAAGUCGGAUGUGAAAUCCCCGGGCUCAACCUGGGAACUGCAUUCGAAACUGGCAGGCUAGAGUCUUGUAGAGGGGGGUAGAAUUCCAGGUGUAGCGGUGAAAUGCGUAGAGAUCUGGAGGAAUACCGGUGGCGAAGGCGGCCCCCUGGACAAAGACUGACGCUCAGGUGCGAAAGCGUGGGGAGCAAACAGGAUUAGAUACCCUGGUAGUCCACGCCGUAAACGAUGUCGAUUUGGAGGUUGUGCCCUUGAGGCGUGGCUUCCGGAGCUAACGCGUUAAAUCGACCGCCUGGGGAGUACGGCCGCAAGGUUAAAACUCAAAUGAAUUGACGGGGGCCCGCACAAGCGGUGGAGCAUGUGGUUUAAUUCGAUGCAACGCGAAGAACCUUACCUGGUCUUGACAUCCACAGAACUUUCCAGAGAUGGAUUGGUGCCUUCGGGAACUGUGAGACAGGUGCUGCAUGGCUGUCGUCAGCUCGUGUUGUGAAAUGUUGGGUUAAGUCCCGCAACGAGCGCAACCCUUAUCCUUUGUUGCCAGCGGUUAGGCCGGGAACUCAAAGGAGACUGCCAGUGAUAAACUGGAGGAAGGUGGGGAUGACGUCAAGUCAUCAUGGCCCUUACGACCAGGGCUACACACGUGCUACAAUGGCAUAUACAAAGAGAAGCGACCUCGCGAGAGCAAGCGGACCUCAUAAAGUAUGUCGUAGUCCGGAUUGGAGUCUGCAACUCGACUCCAUGAAGUCGGAAUCGCUAGUAAUCGUAGAUCAGAAUGCUACGGUGAAUACGUUCCCGGGCCUUGUACACACCGCCCGUCACACCAUGGGAGUGGGUUGCAAAAGAAGUAGGUAGCUUAACCUUCGGGAGGGCGCUUACCACUUUGUGAUUCAUGACUGGG
rnacentral:rRNA from 1 species